UUCUUUUUUAAUAUGUUGUGUACAGACUUACUUACUUCUCUGUCUACUUUUCUUACUCCAUGUAGGUUUCCCAGAGACUAUGGGUUGAGGAGGAAGUGGAAGUUUGUCGGCUUAGACCUGGUGUCAUUCCAUCAGUGUUAAACUUCCCGGCUCAUCUUGGAAGAGUACGUGCCAGAAAGACCACGACCAAGCAGCCUUGAGAUCUUAGACAGCGUCUCCCUCAGGUCCCUCUCUAUCUCCCCACACAUCCACCAACCACUGGAACACAUCUCCAAAGUUCUGCCGGGCCAGCUCAGCUUCCCCUCAGAAGAAGUGCCGCCACCUGCCAGAUGAAGGAGCCUUUUGAUAGGCAGCUGGCAUCGUGAUUGGACUGUACUUUGGUCUGUUCCAAUCCAGCUUCAGCUCCAGAGACGGCAGGCGGGACGAGUCAACGGAGGCCAGGUGGACGAAGGCAUGCAGUUGAGUACAAUCCAGAAAACAACAGAGGAGGAUUGCAGCGGCUCAGGGCCAGAACAGAGUAGCAUGGUAUGUCUCUUAGAAAACAUCAUAGUAUAGCCUUUGGUAUGAAAAAACGCCAUCAUAUACAUUGUAUAUUGUACAAAUAACAAGUCAAAGGAAAGAGACAUACAUUGUAGAAUUGUAGUAAUUGUGGGCUGACUGAUUUACUGAUUAUCAGUAUUUUAUUUUUUACUGAUUUACGGUAAUAAAUACAUUUAAAAAUGGU